rnacentral:rRNA from 1 species
AUUGAACGCUGGCGGCAGGCCUAACACAUGCAAGUCGAGCGGAUGAUGGGAGCUUGCUCCUGGAUUCAGCGGCGGACGGGUGAGUAAUGCCUAGGAAUCUGCCUGGUAGUGGGGAACAACGUUUCGAAAGGAACGCUAAUAACGCAUACGGCCUACGGGAGAAAGCAGGGGACCUUAGGGCCUUGCGCUAUCAGAGGAGCCUAGGUCGGAUUAGCUAGUAGGUGAGGUAAUGGCUCACCUAGGCGACGAGCCGUAACUGGUCUGAGAGGAUGAUCAGUCACACUGGAACUGAGACACGGUCCAGACUCCUACGGGAGGCAGCAGUGGGGAAUAUUGGACAGUGGGCGAAAGCCUGAUCCAGCCAUGCCGCGUGUGUGAAGAAGGUCUUCGGAUUGUAAAGCACUUUAAGUUGGGAGGAAGGGCAGUAAGUUAAUACCUUGCUGUUUUGACGUUACCGACAGAAUAAGCACCGGCUAACUCUGUGCCAGCAGCCGCGGUAAGAC